AGCGGCGAACGGGUGAGUAACACGUGAGCAACCUGCCCCAGGCUUUGGGAUAACCCCGGGAAACCGGGGCUAAUACCGAAUAUGACCUUGCACCGCAUGGUGUUUGGUGGAAAGUUUUUCGGCUUGGGAUGGGCUCGCGGCCUAUCAGCUUGUUGGUGGGGUGAUGGCCUACCAAGGCGACGACGGGUAGCCGGCCUGAGAGGGCGACCGGCCACACUGGGACUGAGACACGGCCCAGACUCCUACGGGAGGCAGCAGUGGGGAAUAUUGCACAAUGGGCGGAAGCCUGAUGCAGCGACGCCGCGUGAGGGAUGACGGCCUUCGGGUUGUAAACCUCUUUCAGCAGGGACGAAGCGUAAGUGACGGUACCUGCAGAAGAAGCGCCGGCCAACUACGUGCCAGCAGCCGCGGUAAGACGUAGGGCGCGAGCGUUGUCCGGAUUUAUUGGGCGUAAAGAGCUCGUAGGCGGCUUGUCGCGUCGACUGUGAAAACCCGCAGCUCAACUGCGGGCCUGCAGUCGAUACGGGCAGGCUAGAGUUCGGUAGGGGAGACUGGAAUUCCUGGUGUAGCGGUGAAAUGCGCAGAUAUCAGGAGGAACACCGGUGGCGAAGGCGGGUCUCUGGGCCGAUACUGACGCUGAGGAGCGAAAGCGUGGGGAGCGAACAGGAUUAGAUACCCUGGUAGUCCACGCUGUAAACGUUGGGCGCUAGGUGUGGGGG
rnacentral:rRNA from 1 species